CGAUAGUGUUAACUUGUAGUGAUGGAAGUAGCUAACUGAGAAAUGACAUUAUCGAUGUUGCUCUUGUUGGUUUUCCAAAG
rnacentral:rRNA from 1 species